rnacentral:rRNA from 1 species
CCUACGGGAGGCAGCAGUAGGGAAUAUUGGGCAAUGGGCGGAAGCCUGACCCAGCCAUGCCGCGUGAAGGAAGACGGCCUUAUGGGUUGUAAACUUCUUUACUAUGCGACUAACUAGAUUUACGAGAUAAUUCUAUAGAAUGUAGCAUAGCAAAAAGCACCGGCUAACUCCGUGCCAGCAGCCGCGGUAAUACGGAGGGUGCGAGCGUUAUUCGGAAUUACUGGGUUUAAAGGGUGCGUAGGCGGCUAAGUAAGUUGUCAUUGAAAGGCUACAGCUCAACUGUAGUAGUGGUGGCGAUACUGCUUAGCUAAGAACAUGGGAGGGGUACUUGGAAUGUGUGGUGUAGCGGUGAAAUGCGUAGAUAUCACACAGAACACCAGAGGCGAAGGCGGAGUACUAGACCAUAGUUGACGCUGAGGCACGAAAGCGUGGGGAUCAAACAGGAUUAGAUACCCUGGUAGUCCACGCCCUAAACGAUGAUCACUAAAUAUUGGCGACAAACAGUCAGUGUCCAAGCGAAAGUGAUAAGUGAUCCACCUGGGGACUACGGCCGCAAGGUUAAAACUCAAAUGAAUUGACGG